rnacentral:rRNA from 1 species
UGGGGAAUUUUGGACAAUGGGCGAAAGCCUGAUCCAGCAAUGCCGCGUGUGUGAAGAAGGCCUUCGGGUUGUAAAGCACUUUUGUCCGGAAAGAAAUCCUUAGCUCUAAUACAGUCGGGGGAUGACGGUACCGGAAGAAUAAGCACCGGCUAACUACGUGCCAGCAGCCGCGGUAAUACGUAGGGUGCAAGCGUUAAUCGGAAUUACUGGGCGUAAAGCGUGCGCAGGCGGUUUGCUAAGACCGAUGUGAAAUCCCCGGGCUCAACCUGGGAACUGCAUUGGUGACUGGCAGGCUAGAGUAUGGCAGAGGGGGGUAGAAUUCCACGUGUAGCAGUGAAAUGCGUAGAGAUGUGGAGGAAUACCGAUGGCGAAGGCAGCCCCCUGGGCCAAUACUGACGCUCAUGCACGAAAGCGUGGGGGAGCAAACAGGAUUAGAUACCCUGGUAGUCCACGCCCUAAACGAUGUCAACUAGUUGUUGGGGAUUCAUUUCCUUAGUAACGUAGCUAACGCGUGAAGUUGACCGCCUGGGGAGUACGGUCGCAAGAUUAAAACUUAAAUGAAUUGACGGGGUCAUAGCUGUUUCCU